rnacentral:rRNA from 1 species
AUUGAACGCUGGCGGCAGGCCUAACACAUGCCAGUCGAACGGUAACAGGAAGCAGCUUGCUGCUUUGCUGACGAGUGGCGGACGGGUGAGUAAUGUCUGGGAAACUGCCUGAUGGAGGGGGAUAACUACUGGAAACGGUAGCUAAUACCGCAUAACGUCGCAAGACCAAAGAGGGGGACCUUCGGGCCUCUUGCCAUCGGAUGUGCCCAGAUGGGAUUAGCUAGUAGGUGGGGUAACGGCUCACCUAGGCGACGAUCCCUAGCUGGUCUGAGAGGAUGACCAGCCACACUGGAACUGAGACACGGUCCAGACUCCUACGGGAGGCAGCAGUGGGGAAUAUUGCACAGUGGGCGCAAGCCUGAUGCAGCCAUGCCGCGUGUAUGAAGAAGGCCUUCGGGUUGUAAAGUACUUUCAGCGGGGAGGAAGGGAGUAAAGUUAAUACCUUUGCUCAUUGACGUUACCCGCAGAAGAAGCACCGGCUAACUCCGUG